AUAGGUAGCCGGCCUGAGAGGGUGGACGGCCACAAGGGGACUGAGAUACGGCCCUUACGCCUACGGGAGGCAGCAGUGGGGAAUAUUGGACAAUGGAGGAAACUCUGAUCCAGCAAUUCUGUGUGUGUGAAGAAGGUUUUAGGACUGUAAAACACUUUUAGUAGGGAAGAAAAAAAUGACGGUACCUACAGAAGAAGCAACGGCUAAAUACGUGCCAGCAGCCGCGGUAAU
rnacentral:rRNA from 1 species